UAUAUACUUCUUUCGUUCUGAAUUACUCGUCGCAGAAAUAGGUGUAUCUAGAUGUAUUUUAAUUCUAGAUAUAUCCAUUUUUACGACGAGUAAUUUGGAACGGAGGAAGUACCAA
rnacentral:pre_miRNA from 1 species